AACGUAGGACGCAAGCGUUAUCCGGAGUUACUGGGCGUAAAGCGCGGGCAGGCGGCUUCGCAAGUUCGAUGUGAAAUCUCUCAGCUCAACUGGGAGCAGCCAUUGGAAACUACGAAGCUGGAGUCUGGCAGAGGUAGGCGGAAUUCCGGGUGUAGUGGUGAAAUGCGUAGAGAUCCGGAGGAACCCCAGAGGCGAAGGCGGCGUCCUGGCUCGCAUCUGACGCUCAGACACGACAGCAUGGGGAGCGAACGGG
rnacentral:rRNA from 1 species